GACACUUUGGCCGAGUGGUUAAGGCGAUGCCCUGCUAUCAACACGAUAUAGGCAUUGGGGUCUCCCCGCGUGUGUUCGAAUCGCACAGGUGUCG